UACGGAGGGGGCUAGCGUUGUUCGGAUUUACUGGGCGUAAAGGGCGCGUAGGCGGUCAGCACAAGUCAGUUGUGAAAUCUCCGAGCUUAACUCGGAACGGUCAACUGAUACUGUGCGACUAGAGUGCGGAAGGGGCAACUGGAAUUCUCGGUGUAGCGGUGAAAUGCGUAGAUAUCGAGAGGAACACCUGCGGCGAAGGCGGGUUGCUGGGCCGACACUGACGCUGAUGCGCGAAAGCCAGGGGAGCGAACGGG
rnacentral:rRNA from 1 species